GUACCCCAAACCGACACAGGUGGUCAGGUAGAGAAUACCAAGGCGCUUGAGAGAACUCGGGUGAAGGAACUAGGCAAAAUGGUGCCGUAACUUCGGGAGAAGGCACGCUGAUGGUAGGUGAAGCGACCUGCUCGUGGAGCUGAAAUCAGUCGAAGAUACCAGCUGGCUGCAACUGUUUAUUAAAAACACAGCACUGUGCAAACACGAAAGUGGACGUAUACGGUGUGACGCCUGCCCGGUGCCGGAAGGUUAAUU
rnacentral:rRNA from 1 species